CAGCCGUAAACUAUGCGCGUUAGGUGUACUGGUGACCACGAGUCACCGGGGUGCCGAAGUGAAACCGUGAAACGUGCCGCCUGGGAAGUACGGUCGCAAGGCUGAAACUUAAAGGAAUUGGCGGGGGGAGCACCACAACGGGUGGAGCCUGCGGUUUAAUUGGACUCAACGCCGGAAAUCUCACCGGAUAGGACAGACAUAUGAUAGUCGGGCUGAAGACUCUACUUGAUGAUCUGAGAGGAGGUGCAUGGCGUCAGUGACU
rnacentral:rRNA from 1 species